rnacentral:rRNA from 1 species
AUACGUAGGGGGCGAGCGUUGUCCGGAAUGAUUGGGCGUAAAGGGCGCGUAGGCGGCCCGGUAAGUCUGGAGUGAAAGUCCUGUUUUUAAGAUUGGAAUUGCUUUGGAUACUGUCGGGCUUGAGUGCAGGAGAGGUAAGUGGAAUUCCCAGUGUAGCGGUGAAAUGCGUAGAGAUUGGGAGGAACACCAGUGGCGAAGGCGACUUACUGGACUGUAACUGACGCUGAGGCGCGAAAGUGUGGGGAGCAAACAGGAUUAGAUACCCUGGUAGUCCACGCGGUAAACGAUGAUCACUAGGUGUCGGCGGCCAUAGGCGGUCGGUGCCGCAGCAAACGCAAUAAGUGAUCCACCUGGGGAGUACGUUCGCAAGAAUGAAACUCAAAUGAAUUGGCGGGG